rnacentral:sRNA from 16 species
CGCCAGGCUAUCCCGACGGGGAGAAAAGCGGGAACCUUCACCCGCCUGCCUGGUGCCCCGAAUUGAAGG